ACGCUCGACACCUACGGGAAGCAGCAGUGGGGAAUAUUGCACAAUGGGGGAAACCCUGAUGCAGCAACGCCGCGUGAAGGAAGACGGUUUUCGGAUUGUAAACUUCUGUUCUUAGUGAAGAUAGUGACGGUAGCUAAGGAGCAAGCCACGGCUAACUACGUGCCGACAGCCGCGGUAAUCUGAGCGGGCUGGCAAGGC
rnacentral:rRNA from 1 species